AUGAACGCUGGCGGCGUGCCUAAUCCCUGCCAGUCGAGCGAACAGACGAGGAGCUUGCUCCUCUGACGUUAGCGGCGGACGGGUGAGUAACACGUGGAUAACCUACCUAUAAGACUGGGAUAACUUCGGGAAACCGGAGCUAAUACCGGAUAAUAUAUUGAACCGCAUGGUUCAAUAGUGAAAGACGGUUUUGCUGUCACUUAUAGAUGGAUCCGCGCCGCAUUAGCUAGUUGGUAAGGUAACGGCUUACCAAGGCAACGAUGCGUAGCCGACCUGAGAGGGUGAUCGGCCACACUGGAACUGAGACACGGUCCAGACUCCUACGGGAGGCAGCAGUAGGGAAUCUUCCGCAAUGGGCGAAAGCCUGACGGAGCAACGCCGCGUGAGUGAUGAAGGUCUUCGGAUCGUAAAACUCUGUUAUUAGGGAAGAACAAAUGUGUAAGUAACUAUGCACGUCUUGACGGUACCUAAUCAGAAAGCCACGGCUAACUACGUGC
rnacentral:rRNA from 1 species